rnacentral:rRNA from 1 species
CAGUCGCCGCGGUAAUACGUAGGUGGCAAGCGUUGUCCGGAAUUAUUGGGCGUAAAGCGCGCGCAGGCGGAUCAGUCAGUCUGUCUUAAAAGUUCGGGGCUUAACCCCGUGAUGGGAUGGAAACUGCCAAUCUAGAGUAUCGGAGAGGAAAGUGGAAUUCCUAGUGUAGCGGUGAAAUGCGUAGAUAUUAGGAAGAACACCAGUGGCGAAGGCGACUUUCUGGACGAAAACUGACGCUGAGGCGCGAAAGCCAGGGGAGCGAACGGGAUUAGAUACCCCGGUAGUCCCUGUCUCUUAUACA